rnacentral:lncRNA from 1 species
GGGGUGCUGGAACCUGGAGCGCAGGGCUCUUUGGGAGUGUCGAAGGGGCUGUGGCUGCAGCUGGCACAAAGUGGCUGGAGCCUGGGGGAGGGGCGUGAUGCUGAAGAGGCAGGGGUCACACAGAAGGACGGAGUGAUGAGGCUCUCCUGGCAGGGGCGAGAAGAGGCGCUCACCAAAAGUCACUGGCCAAGCCCUCCUCUGGCCUUCUAGGCCGUACUGUGGGCGACGACCCUCGAGGCCUGUUCCAGAAACACCAGGAAGAGGAGCUGGAAGAGAGAAGGAAGUUGUACCGGUGGGGAAACUUGAAGGAUGGGUUAAUUCUGAAUGUGGCUGGGGCAAAACUAUGUGACCUCCCUGUGGAUGAGCAAUUUCUGGAAGACAAGAGUGUUGACUUUAAGGUUUCGCUGGCCAAAGGGUGAGAGCAAGGGGAGGCUGGGUGAGAGGGAGGUGUCCUGGUCUAGUGGAAGCCAAGGGGCUUAUGGGCUGCACUGCACUGCACUGGACCGGCUCAAGGUCGGUGCCUGUGGCUGUCAUGUUGGAGUCUCAGAAUGAUGCUCAAACCCUUUGCCCCAUUCUGUCCUGAAGGCUGGC